rnacentral:rRNA from 1 species
GACGAACGCUGGCGGCGUGCUUAACACAUGCAAGUCGAACGAUGAAGCCGGAGCUUGCUCUGGUGAAUUAGUGGCGAACGGGUGAGUAACACGUGAGUAACCUGCCCUUGACUCUGGGAUAACUGCGGGAAACUGUAGCUAAUACCGGAUACGACCCUCGGAGGCAUCUCCUGGGGGUGGAAAGAAUUUCGGUCAAGGAUGGACUCGCGGCCUAUCAGCUAGGUGGUGAGGUAAAGGCUCACCAAGGCGACGACGGGUAGCCGGCCUGAGAGGGUGACCGGCCACACUGGGACUGAGACACGGCCCAGACUCCUACGGGAGGCAGGAGUGGGGAAUAUUGGACAAUGGGCGCAAGCCUGAUGCAGCACCGCCGCGUGAGGGAUGGCGGCCUUCGGGUUGUAAACCUCUUUUAGCAGGGAAGAAGCGAAAGUGACGGUACCUGCAGAAAAAGCACCGGCUAACUACGUGCCAGCCGCCGCAGUAA